CGGACGGGUGAGUAACACGUGGGAACGUGCCUUUAGGUUCGGAAUAACUCAGGGAAACUUGUGCUAAUACCGAAUGUGCCCUUCGGGGGAAAGAUUUAUCGCCUUUAGAGCGGCCCGCGUCUGAUUAGCUAGUUGGUAGUGUAAUGGACUACCAAGGCGACGAUCAGUAGCUGGUCUGAGAGGAUGAUCAGCCACAUUGGGACUGAGACACGGCCCAAACUCCUACGGGAGGCAGCAGUGGGGAAUCUUGCGCAAUGGGCGAAAGCCUGACGCAGCCAUGCCGCGUGAAUGAUGAAGGUCUUAGGAUUGUAAAAUUCUUUCACCGGGGACGAUAAUGACGGUACCCGGAGAAGAAGCCCCGGCUAACUUCGUGCCAGCAGCCGCGGUAAUACGAAGGGGGCUAGCGUUGCUCGGAAUUACUGGGCGUAAAGGGAGCGUAGGCGGACAUUUAAGUCAGGGGUGAAAUCCCGGGGCUCAACCUCGGAAUUGCCUUUGAUACUGGGUGUCUUGAGUAUGAGAGAGGUGUGUGGAACUCCGAGUGUAGAGGUGAAAUUCGUAGAUAUUCGGAAGAACACCAGUGGCGAAGGCGACACACUGGCUCAUUACUGACGCUGAGGCUCGAAAGCGUG
rnacentral:rRNA from 1 species